AGAAGAUAAAGAAAAAUAGAAAAUAAAGAAGAGAUGAAUUAUAUUUAAUAGCAAAGAGACAUUAUAAAUUAUAAUUAAUUAAAACUUAACCUAAAUAGGAUAAUUAACUGUUUAUUUGUUAAUAUACGAAUUUCUCCCAUUAAUAUUCCACAAGGUAGAGGCUUGUGGUAGGUAGAGGCCUGUGACACAUGACAAAGAUGUUAAUUUCCUAGCGGAUUGCACAACAAAUACACUCCCCUUAAUUUUAGCCCAUAAUCUCUCAUAAACGAAAGUACAGAUAACUAAGGAAGUUUACCUUUUAUCAGUACUAGGUAUAUGAGCAUUUCUGGAAUUCAAGAAUGGUGCUUCUGUUGUGGAUGAUGGAGGAAUUAUAAAUCUUGAAUGAAAUCUAAUCUAUAUAUAAAUGCAACAUCAAUGUUCAUUUGUACAUACUGUGACGGGAUCUCAUCUUGUUGGUCUUUACACCACUCAUCAAAUGGUUCAGGAAUCAAGCAGACAAGUUGGCAUAGUUGUAUGUUAAGAGUUAUGUGUAUCUAUGUAUCUGCGUGUGUAUGUCAUAUUUGGGUUAGAGUUGCAAGUGUAACCAUACAUACGUGUACUAAAAGAAAAUUUCCCUAGUAUUUUUGUCCUCCUUAUACUAAAAGAAAGUUUUCAUCAAUAAUAUGGUUGCUUGCUUGAGUUGCUGGAGGAAAAAAGUGGGUAUAGCAUAGUAGCUAAACAUGAAAUAACUGAUAAGAAAUGAACUUUCGGACUAAAUUACAAAAAUUAACUUAUGAGGUAAAGAUUGUGCAAGAUCAUACUCAAAACUCUUCCAAUCCCUCAACAACUUCUCCUGGACCACUCAACACCCCUACACUCCUAGACUUACCAAUUGAAGCAUAGACAAUGUAACAUGGAGACCAAACACCAGGUAAUCUUCACAUUACUUGCUUGCUCGCAGUCCCUUUCAAUCUUAUGUAGGUUCUUGGAGAAGGAUGCCGAGUACUUAAGUUUUUGGGUAGUUUUCAACCCCUCUGAUGCACUUCUGAAUUUACCUUCCAGUGUCGAACCUAGGAUGGAUGUGUCUUGUCAGCUGUUGAUCUUUGACUCACUAAUAUAUAAGUUUUGUAAGGCCUUAACUAUUUUAUGUAUAGGCUUCACACUGUCACUGGAAAAAACAGCAGAAUUUUUUAUGAACUUUUCUCAAGGAGUCUAUGCAAAUCACCGAUGAUUCAUAAUUAACAAGGUUAAGUGAUAUCCCUUGGCUAUAGCUGCAUCAGUCAUUACUCAUGUCCUCCAUUGCACUUUCUUAAUUUAUUAUUACGAGAUGAAGAAGUUGAAAAAGAACACUAAGGUCUCGUGGUUCACAUUCAGUGGAGGCAAAAGACGCUAGUGAUCUGUUCCCAUCUGCCUUAAGCUUUGUAUCCAAUAAAUGGUCAAGGCGUGAGAAGUCUGAUUGUGAUGCACAAUGGUUUCAUUCUCCAUUCACUUUCAUUAGCAUUAAUGAACUGAUGUUUCCCUUAACCUUAAUUUUAGCAUAUUACGUAUAUCAAUACAACUUCCGUCAACAAUGUGAAGUAUAUAUUUGUCUGAUGGUUCAAACAUAAUCAGAACUACGUUCAUUAUUGACCCAAAACAUAUAAACCCCCUCUCAAAUUUCGCUGACCAAAGAGUUGGAAGUGCAACUCUAAUGUAGUACCAAAAAAGGGUUGAGGAAAGACAAAGGGGAGAAAUGAGAAAGCAGAGAAGGGAAGUGAUGAUAAUCAAAAAGGAAGAGAGGUAGAAAUAAUAACUGUAGGGGGGUGCGCGGAUUUGUAGGUAUAAUAGAUUUUGUACCAUUUGUAGGGAAUCUAUUUUUAUUUAGUGCGUGGAUGUUAUCUUUUAAUAAUUUACUUUUUUCGUAAGAUAUAUUCAUUAAUUAUUUUAUCCUGUAGUAAUUACAGAGUUACAAAUUCUUGUAUAAUAAUUUAUCCUAUCUGUGCUAUAAUAUAUAUCUAAUUCUAGAUUUUCAAUGUUAUUUAUUAUUUUGUGUUGUUCUUCUCGUAGUGAGUUUUUUAAAUUAUAUAAACUAUCACAUGUACUUUUAUCUAAGGUUUUUUCUAUCCAUAUUAAUUUUUCUUUUAGGUCUUUCAUUAUUUGUCUAAUUCGGUUUCUAUAAUUAAUUUCAUUAUUUAGAUUUUCUUGAUUUUCUCUAGUUUGUCUAAUAUAUUCUAACAUAUCUUAAUCUGAAUAAUAUUCUUCUGGGUAAAUUUCUU
rnacentral:lncRNA from 1 species